rnacentral:rRNA from 1 species
GAGAUCGGGAUAACACCUGGAAACAGAUGCUAAUACCGGAUAACAANAGAUGAUGCCUAUCAACUGUUUAAAAGAUGGUUCUGCUAUCACUCUUGGAUGGACCUGCGGUGCAUUAGCUAGUUGGUAGGGUAACGGCCUACCAAGGCGAUGAUGCAUAGCCGAGUUGAGAGACUGAUCGGCCACAUUGGGACUGAGACACGGCCCAAACUCCUACGGGAGGCAGCAGAA